UACGAAGGGUGCAAGCGUUACUCGGAAUUACUGGGCGUAAAGCGUGCGUAGGCGGUUUGUUAAGUCCGUUGUGAAAGCCCUGGGCUCAACCUGGGAAUUGCAGUGGAUACUGGCGAGCUAGAGUGCGGUAGAGGAUGGUGGAAUUCCGGGUGUAGUGGUGAAAUGCGUAGAGAUCCGGAGGAACCCCAGAGGCGAAGGCGGCCCCCUGGCUCGUACCUGACGCUCAGCCACGAAAGCAUGGGGAGCGAACGGG
rnacentral:rRNA from 1 species